AGUGAACGCUGGCGGUAGGCCUAACACAUGCAAGUCGAACGGCAGCACAGUAAGAGUUUGCUCUUACGGGUGGCGAGUGGCGGACGGGUGAGGAAUACAUCGGAAUCUACUUUUUCGUGGGGGAUAACGUAGGGAAACUUACGCUAAUACCGCAUACGACCUACGGGUGAAAGCAGGGGAUCUUCGGACCUUGCGCGAUUGAAUGAGCCGAUGUCGGAUUAGCUAGUUGGCGGGGUAAAGGCCCACCAAGGCGACGAUCCGUAGCUGGUCUGAGAGGAUGAUCAGCCACACUGGAACUGAGACACGGUCCAGACUCCUACGGGAGGCAGCAGUGGGGAAUGUUGGACAAUGGGCGCAAGCCUGAUCCAGCCAUACCGCGUGGGUGAAGAAGGCCUUCGGGUUGUAAAGCCCUUUUGUUGGGAAAGAAAAGCAGCAGGUUAAUACCCCGCUGUUCUGACGGUACCCAAAGAAUAAGCACCGGCUAACUUCGUG
rnacentral:rRNA from 1 species